AGCAGAGUGGCGCAGUGGAAGCGUGCUGGGCCUAUAACCCAGAGGUCCGAGGAUCGAAGUCUCGCUCUGCUA